GACGAACGCUGGCGGCGUGCUUAACACAUGCAAGUCGAACGGAAAGGCCCUGCUUUUGUGGGGUGCUCGAGUGGCGAACGGGUGAGUAACACGUGAGUAACCUGCCCUUGACUUUGGGAUAACUUCAGGAAACUGGGGCUAAUACCGGAUAGGAGCUCCUGCUGCAUGGUGGGGGUUGGAAAGUUUCGGCGGUUGGGGAUGGACUCGCGGCUUAUCAGCUUGUUGGUGGGGUAGUGGCUUACCAAGGCUUUGGCGGGUAGCCGGCCUGGGAGGGUGACCGGCCACAUUGGGACUGAGGUACGGCCCAGACUCCUACGGGAGGCAGCAGUGGGGAAUAUUGCACAAUGGGCGGAAGCCUGAUGCGGCAACGCCGCGUGCGGGAUGACGGCCUUCGGGUUGUAAACCGCUUUCGCCUGUGACGAAGCGUGAGUGACGGUAAUGGGUAAAGAAGCACCGGCUAACUACGUG
rnacentral:rRNA from 1 species